rnacentral:rRNA from 1 species
UACGUAGGUGACAAGCGUUGUCCGGAUUUACUGGGCGUAAAGGGCGCGUAGGCGGCGUGUCAAGUCAGGCGUGAAAGCCCCGGGCUCAACCUGGGAACCGCGCUUGAGACUGGCAUGCUCGAGUUCGGGAGAGGAUGGUGGAAUUCCCAGUGUAGAGGUGAAAUUCGUAGAUAUUGGGAAGAACACCGAUGGCGAAGGCAGCCAUCUGGACCGACACUGACGCUGAGGCGCGAAAGCGUGGGGAGCAAACAGG